GAGUCCAGGAAGUCUGGGAGAGGUUGAGCCCAGGCUGUGGCCUGGCGGACGGGUCCUGAGGCGCUUAAUCCCGGAGAGGAGGCCUGGAGAAAGGAGCGGAUAACAGACCACUGCCAACCGCGCGCGUCUAUGCUGGCCCCGAUGCAGGGGCAGCUCCGCUCAGGCCCAGCUCAGGAUAGGAGAUGAGACCCUGCUCUCCUCUCACUUCGAGGCUUGUGCGCCUCUGGCUGAUGGGACCCCAACAUUCGCAGGCUCAUGGGCUUGGGGUCCCCAGGAUGCUCCCCCACCUCCGGGACCCCUCCCUUGGGCGGCAGUGAAACCCGCCGGUGCUUACACCUUCCUGCUCUUGACCACCCUGGAGAGGCCCCGCUCUGGCCCUUGGGUGGGUGGCUGCCCCACUCUGGGCCUGCUUCACUGGCAGCAGGACACAGGGCCAGGCCAUGCUGCCUUGUUCUGCCCAGCGCCCCGCACCCAGCAGGCCCUGGGAGAUACCCUGGGGCCAGAGGCCAGCUGUCAGCUCCACCUGCAGCUGCAGCCGCGGGGGGUAGAGGGGGGUGUCACUGUGACCUUGCUCCAGGUCAGCACCAUGGGCGUCAUCAGGUCCUAGUGCCUGGAAGCUGGGACUCACGACCGUCCAGCUGCCUGCACUUUGGACAGGCCUGGGGCAUUCCCACUGGAGGCCAGGGGCCCU
rnacentral:lncRNA from 1 species